UCGAGAGGGUUCGGCCCUCGGCUGACGGCUCAGUAACACGUGGAUAAUCUGCCCUUAGGUGGAGGAUAAUCUCGGGAAACUGAGGAUAAUACUCCAUAGAUCUAGGAUGCUGGAAUGCAUCUAGAUUGAAAGCUCCGGCGCCUAAGGAUGAGUCUGCGGACUAUCAGGUUGUAGUCAGGGUAAAGACCUGACUAGCCUACGACGGGUACGGGUUGUGAGAGCAAUAACCCGGAGACGAUAUCUGAGACACGAUAUCGGGCCCUACGGGGCGCAGCAGGCGCGAAAACUUCACACUGUGCGAAAGCGCGAUGAGGGAAUCCCAAGUGUUUGCUCGUAAGAGUAAACUGUUUCUUUGUUUAAAACGCAGAGAGAGUAAGGGCUGGGUAAGACGGGUGCCAGCCGCCGCGGUAAUACCUGCAGCUCUAGUGGUGAUCAUUAUUAUUGGGCCUAAAACGUCCGUAGCCGGUUUAGUAAAUGCCUGGGUAAAUCGUGUAGCUUAACUAUACGACUUCCGGGUAGACUGCUAAACUUGAGACCGGGAGAGGCUAGAGGUACUCCUGGGGUAGAGGUGAAAUUCUGUAAUCCUAGGGGGACCACCAGUGGCGAANGCGUCUAGCUAGAACGGGUCUGACGGUGAGGGACGAAGCCCUGGGGCGCAAACCGGAUUA
rnacentral:rRNA from 1 species